ensembl:lncRNA
CCUCCUUUCUCAUGCUUCUUUCUCUUUACCCUCUCCAACCCCUCCCAGUCCCAUUUCCCACUUCUUAGGGCCUGAUUCUCAGCUAGCUGCCACGUACUGCCAAAUGCUAGCCACUAACAGUUCACAGGGCUGUCCCUUCCUGGGGGCACUUUGUAUUUUGUUUCAAUAAAAUUGACUCUGGGGACUUGAGAAUCUUCAAAAAGCCAAUUUAAGGUAUUGCUCAGAGGGUCCAGGUGGUUGCAUGAGGUCAUACGCAGGCCUCUGGAAACAACCAAGGCAUGUACAUAAGUGGGACAAUCACAUCCCGACGUCCUUUUUGAAUAGACACAGGUUGGUGGGUGUGGAACACUGAGAAGUGUCAGCUGGACCCUGCCCAGGAAGCCGGGGGUAAAUGAGAGUGUCUGUCCUGGGUGCUCUAGGGAGGCACACGUGUGAGUAGUUAGCAGUCAGGAUGGUCGGCAGCAGCUGAAUGUUAGGCACUGAGUUACCACUCCUAACCUGCGGAAGAGGAGCCCAGAGUGAAGGCCUCGUUCCUUGGAGGACCCAAGAGCUCUGGACUGCCUGGGGUGUGAGGAACCGGACAUUCAAAACUCUUGGCACUGGGUCUCCCAGCAACAACUUUUGCCUGAGGAAACAACACAGGCCAUGGUACCUGGGGUGUCUCAGUGGUACCUGCAUUUUUCUGAGCAGUUGAUGCGGCUCUUUUCGGUGGGAGAUGACCCUAAAACCUCAUGCAAAUCAAGGAUCAUCAGGCUAUGUGCAACACUCUUCAUGGGCUCCACAUGGUCUGAGCACAUAGACAUGAAAACCCUCCACCCUAUGCUGACUAUGGCAGGUGGAAUAGGAGCAGGAUAACUGCAAUGAGGACUCCCAUUCAGAGAAAAGAAGCAUGGGAACACAUCCGGCACUGGUUCAUGACAACGAUCAGAUGCUGAUGGGCUGGAGGAAGGAGCCCCCCUACCCCGGCAGUGGAGCUUUGUCCAUCGUCCAUGUCUCUGGGCUUUUCCUUCUGGGAGGCUCUUAUCCCCCAUGGCUACCCCUGAAACAGGCAUUGGUGAGAGGGGCCCCUGGGAGCUUCAGAGUGUUCACCUCUACUUCCUGCUGCUGCAGAUUGUGGAUCCCAGCGAUUGUAUUAGGAAGUAACGGUCAUAGUCAAUACUUUUUAUUGUUUGUUCAGUGCUUUCAAAAAAAAAAAAAACUUAGCAGGCUUUCAAUCUAUCUGCUUCUGAUCAGUUUCUUAUAUAAAAUCCACAACUACAGACCUGCAGCCAUCAUUCUAACACUGCAGGGGAACCAGGAGGGACUUGAGAAAGUUAAAUUCAAACUUGCCCUGUGCCUAACCACACUGCAGUUUACUUUGAUGUGAAGACCUUUAGAGUGAUAUGUAAGGGCAUCUCCUCCCAGAGCGCCCCUCUCCCUUUGCAGUCUGGGACUUCAACUGGAAGAUAGACAAUGAAGAUACACACCUGACUUGCUCCCACACUUGCGUCCUUUCUCACCUCCUCCCCGCCAUCCUCCAGACCUGAGAUCAGGGCUCUCCUGUCUGUUCUCCUCUUUAGAUAAAGCUCUAAGGUCAGUUCUGUCAGGCUGGCUUCUUGAUAUAUUACAGAGAAAGUUAAAGACAUCCAGAAUAUCCUUUUUCUUAAUAAAGACUGUCUUUCAAGACCA